rnacentral:lncRNA from 1 species
UGAGUCGAGCGCGCGCGUGUUUAUUUUUUGUAUUUCGACAUCACGGUUAGUAUAACAAUAUUAUUAUUUCUCGUUUUAGCACUACAACAAAAACGGUCUAUAGCGACAUUUUUAAAUGUCGGAAAAAAGUGUUGCUGGCUAAAUUUACCGACACUUUUGAAAAGUGUUGCUAUAUGUGGGGUCGCUAGGUAUAUAGUGACAGUUAAAGAGUGUUGCUAUAAUCUAAAAGAGUGCAGCUAAUUUACCAACAUUUUAAGCAUCUAGCAACCGCCGGAAUUCUACCUCGUUGACUGCAGUGGCGGAGGAGGACGAGAGGAAAUGAUCUUCGUCUAGGAUUUCAGUCGAUUGAAUGAGGGGAGAAGGGAAAAUGAUAAUCGAAUUUUCUUUUCUUUUUCUUUUCUGUUUGUAAUCGGGCCGAAUGGGCUAAGUGGAGUGGGUUGAGUAGAGUACCCUUUUAAUUUUAGUUGGAUUGGACUUUAUAUUUAGGCAUUAGUACGAUUUUUUUUAAGUUUUGGCAUAAAUGUGACACUUAUACAAAAGUGUCCCAAACAUGUGUCGCUAUAACCUAAUUCUGUUGUAGUGUAGAUUCUUUUGAUAAAUUUUUUGUGGAAAUUGAGAGUUAGAAACUGAUUUUUUUUAUAUGUUUUAGGAGUUGAUUUCGUGGCUGCAUGUCGUUCAGACUAGAAGAGCUGUGGCAUAUCAUCUGAUUAUUUUGACUGUCGUACUGUUUCUUGGAUUUAUGAUAUAGAUGGAUUUUGUGUUGUCAAAAUUGGCAGACUAAUUUUUAUAUUCAUAUUAUAUUAUUUAACCUCUGAGAUAAACUGUUGAUGUAGUUGAGAUAGUAGUGAUAUUUUGAUACUUACCAGUAGAGUAAAUUAAGACAUAUAUAUCUGUUAUAUUUCUAAAGGUCAACAGACAAUUACAGAUAGUGUGAGACUAUAACUAUAUUUUGGACACUAUAACAGUAUUAUUAUGAUCUAUUUGAUCAUUGCAUUUGACCACAGCCUACAUACUAAGUUGAGUUUGACAGUGAUACUAUACUCGAUUGUGAUAGCGUCCCGCAAGUGCCACUCCGGAGGUUGGGUUAUGAGAUAUUAUUAUAGUAUGGGCGAGACAGUAGCCUGCAUGGUAGCGGACUACUAUAGGUAGGUGCUGAAUACGACCCAGCGCAGGCUAGACCUGACUGUUGAGUCGGUCACUAUGAUUGGGUCUUAUUGCAAUGUUUUAUUCAGUAACUAAUUGAUGCAUGGCGUAUAUGAAUUGUAAAUUUCAGUUAUAUUGUAGAAGUAUGAUAGUAGUAAUUAUUUUCAGCAAUUAUUCAUAUUAGUAAUUAUUUAUUUACACUUCUCAGUCAUUUACUAUUUUUACCUCUUAUGGACCUAGUGGUGUAGACCGUCAGCGUUGAUGAUCGUACACACUAGGGACUAUUGAUUAUAAUUUUCAAAUCCUCUUUAUUAAUAUUUUAUUUCAGAACCUUCAACAUUAGUGACUGAUCGAGAUAAGGGGAUUGUAGAUAGUUAGUAUCUCCUAUCCUUUUUCUUUUUGUGUGUGUAGUUGAACCACCUAUCAUAGUAGAUAGUAACUUGUACAGUACUUUGAGGUUUGAAUAGUCAGAGAUGUUAUACCAUUUUGGGGGACGGGUAUAGAGAUGAUUGUAUAUCUUUACGGUGUUGCUAUAGUAUAUAAUUUUUAUUUUCUUCUGAUACCUAUUGUUGUUAAAUUUUAGUAAAUUUUGUUGAAUAGAUUUUGUUAACGCUUUAUAUGUAUAAGGUGUAUCCUUGUGCAUGCGGCGGGUCUGUUGACGUAACCCGGGAUGCGGCGGGUCUGUUGACGUAACCCGGGAUUUCGCUGUAAUUCGAGACGUGACACCACGUAACUACUGACGCUUAUGCUAAGCGUUAGUAAAUUAUAUUCUGACGCUUUAAAACAUCAAAAUUUUUUAAAAUCCUUACGCUUUAAAGCGUCGAAAAAUUAAAAAUAAUAGUAAAGUUUAUUAUUUAAAUAAAUUAGUUUAAUACAAUAGAGGGUUCAUUUUGACGAUGCUUUUUGAAGCAUCGGUAUUCGCUAUGCUGUAGGGAUAUUUGGUGAUGCUUUCCCCAAGCAUCGUCUAAAAUGUGUCGUUAUAUUAGGAUUUUCUUGUAGUGAUCAACGUACGUGAAUAUUUGUUGACUACACCAGUGCCACAUUAGCCGACCAAACAAGGUCUCAUCUAGCUUGCGUCUUGCCUAGUGAGACGUCGAACAAUCAUAUACGAACCCACAUCAGCACUCAACAGCUAGCGUGAGGUGAACAAUCGCAUCCUCUCUUGGUUAUACCUUCAGAGGACCAAGACUUGUAGGGAGCGACCCUCACAAAAUAAAAUACUCAUUGAGCACCUAAAAAUGGUUUCAAUUUGGAUGCCUGAAAUAGAGAAUCGAGCACCUGAAAAUGGUUUCGAAGGGUCCCCCGUUGCGCUUGAAUCUUUUGAACGCUUAUCUGGAGAGCUGGAAUUUCGAGAACUGGACUAUUCGAACGCCCGCAUUGCCCUACGAGUGCCUGGAAGUUAAUUCGGACUCUAUCUUUGGGCGUCCGGAUGAUUUCCAAACUGCCAACCUAAGGGGGGAAAUCCUACACAAAAGAUUUGGAUGUCCGAUAUCCCCUGCAAGCAUUCGGAGCAACUUUCGGAUAGUCCUUGUUGGCGUCCGAUGCCACAUUUGGACGCCCAACUCGACAGCUUCCCUUGUGUGAGAAGUCGACCUUUUGGAUGCCUGAAAUACCCUGCGGGCACCCGAAUUGAAAAGCGAGCGAAGCCAGCACAUGCCUCCAACAACUUCGAGGUGUAGCUACAUAUUUUGGGGCAUUGUCACCUUCUAUCGAAUGCCAGAAAGUUGGGCCAAGUGCUCGAAAAGUUUGGGCGAGCGCCGAAAACUAGCGUACAGAUAUGGUCUCUGACUCCGUCAUCUUUAGGAUUUUGAGUUCACCUCUUAUAGUUUGUCAGCGAACUCUUUUCGCCUUCUAUUCGGCUUUGUAGGUAUUUGCAAGGAUCCCCCAGGCUUGUCAUGAGGUGGUAGCAGCCGAAACUUGUUUUGAUGAAGAGGGCCUUCUGAUCCUUCUUUUUUUGACUCUUUUAGAGCCGUGAUUUAAUUUUCUUGGAGCGCAGCUUCAUCCGGAGACUCUACAUAGAGUCUCUAGAUAGUUUCGAACAAGUUCCAUUUUGCAUCACAUCUAACUGAUUCCUUAGUUUGGAUUGAAAAUGGAGAGGAAAAAAUGAGAAGAACUUUACUUUUCUUUUGAUUGAUAAUACAGUCACACCCUAUUGCCUCUAUUUAUAAGGCUUAGACUAGCUACAUAAGGAAGAACAAUCUAAACUUAUCCAAAACCUCAAAAGAAACUUGAUUAAUAUUAAAGCUAGCUAUUUAUGAGAUAAAACAAAACCCAACAAAUAAUAAAUUUCAAAAUAAUAAAAUAUAUCCUAAUUAACAAAGAGAGAGAUAAAAUAAUUAAUUUUAUCUCUUUCCAACAAUUUGGACAUGUUACUAUAAAAAUAUUUUUUGAAUAAAAUAAUGAAAUGUUUGAGAUAAUUUUCAGGAAAAAAAAGCUAAAUAUUUUGGAUUUAUUUGAGAGAAUAAUAAAAAUGCAAAAGUUCAUUAGUGCGCACUAUUGAAACAAUUGAAAUAUACAAGGAAAACUGAACAAACGAAAAUUAUUGCUGCACCUGGCGUAUAACCUUGUCAACUCACUACAAUAAAAACGGUCUAUAGCGACACUUUUAAAUAUAGGUACAUAUCAAAAAAGUGCUGCUAGCUAAAAUUACCGAUCUUUUAAAAAGUGUUGCUAUAUGUGGGGUCGCAAGGUAUAUAGUGACAGUUAAAGAGUGUUGCUAUAACCUAAAAGAGUGCUGCUAAUUUACCAACACUUAUUUAAGCAUUUAGCAACUGCCGAAACUCUAUCUCGUUGGCUGCGGUGGCGGAGGAGGACGACAGGAAAGGCUCUUCGUCUAGAAUUUCAGUGGAUUGAGUGAAGAGAGAAGAAAAGAUGGUAAUUAAUUUUUCUUUUUUUUCUGUUUGUAAUCGGGUCCAAUGGACUGGGUGUGGUGGGUUGAGUAGAGUAAUCUUUUAUUUUUGGUUGGAUUGGGCUUUAUAUUUAGGCAUUAGUAGAUAUUUUUUUAAGUUUUAGCAUAAAUGGGACACUUACUCAAAAGUAUCCCAAACAUGUGUCCCUAUAACCUAAUUCUGUUGUAGUAACUGUGCA